rnacentral:rRNA from 1 species
UACGUAGGGUGCAAGCGUUUGUCCGGAAUUAUUGGGCGUAAAGAGCUCGUAGGCGGUCUGUCGCGUCUGCUGUGAAAACUCGGGGCUUAACCCCGGGCCUGCAGUGGGUACGGGCAGACUAGAGUGCGGUAGGGGAGACUGGAAUUCCCGGUGUAGCGGUGAAAUGCGCAGAUAUCGGGAGGAACACCGGUGGCGAAGGCGGUCUACUGGGUCCUUACCUGGACGCUGAG